rnacentral:rRNA from 1 species
GAUGAACGCUGACAGAAUGCUUAACACAUGCAAGUCAACUUGAACUUCGGUUUGGGUGGCGGACGGGUGAGUAACGCGUAAAGAACUUGCCUCACAGAUAGGGACAACAUUUGGAAACGAAUGCUAAUACCUGAUAUUAUGAUUUUAGGGCAUCCUAGGAUUAUGAAAGCUAUAUGCGCUGUGAGAGAGCUUUGCGUCCCAUUAGCUAGUUGGAGAGGUAACGGCUCACCAAGGCGAUGAUGGGUAGCCGGCCUGAGAGGGUGAUCGGCCACAAGGGGACUGAGACACGGCCCUUACUCCUACGGGAGGCAGCAGUGGGGAAUAUUGGACAAUGGACCAAGAGUCUGAUCCAGCAAUUCUGUGUGCACGAUGGAGUUUUUCGGAAUGUAAAGUGCUUUCAGUUGGGAAGAAAAAAAUGACGGUACCAACAGAAGAAGUGACGGCUAAAUACGUGCCAGCAGCCGCGGUAAUACGUAUGUCACAAGCGUUAUCCGGAUUUAUUGGGCGUAAAGCGCGUCUAGGUGGUUAUGUAAGUCUGAUGUGAAAAUGCAGGGCUCAACUCUGUAUUGCGUUGGAAACUGUGUAACUAGAGUACUGGAGAGGUAAGCGGAACUACAAGUGUAGAGGUGAAAUUCGUAGAUAUUUGUAGGAAUGCCGAUGGUAAAGCCAGCUUACUGGACAGAUACUGACGCUGAAGCGCGAAAGCGUGGGUAGCAAACAGG